GCUGGCGGCGAUCUAAGNAAAAGGAUCAAGUGGGUUUAGACCCACGGCGAACGGGUGAGUAAUACCUAGCAACGUACCUUUAGAAAAGCAUAACCCGCCGAAAGGCGGGAUAAUACUCGAUAUGGCCGCAAGGUUAAAGCAGCAAUGCGCUAAAGAAACGGCCUGGGCACCAUCAGCUUGUUGGUAAGGUAACGGCUUACCAAGGCUACGACGGUUAGGGGCCCCGAGAGGGGAGACCCCCACACUGGAACUGAGACACGGUCCAGACUCCUACUGGAGGCAGCAGU
rnacentral:rRNA from 1 species